rnacentral:lncRNA from 1 species
UAUUUCCUUAAGAUUAAUCAAUAAUAGCAGAAUUUCAGACUAAGUAGGGUAGAAUGGAAGAUGAAGCUGUGAUACUUGCCUUUAAGGUUUAUUUUCCAUACAACUCAUGAAGAAUCAUAAAUAAAGAUUAAAAAGGAAAUUAGAGGACUCUGACGGUAUGGUGCCAAAAGCAGAUGAAAAAAAAUGGACAUGAUGAAGAAGACACAAAGAUAGAAAAUGAAUCAAGAGAGUGCAGUAUGAUGAAAACAAGCUAGAGCAGUACCACUAAGAAGAAACUUCCUAUAAGGGCCA